UCGUAAAGCUAAUCACGUUAAGCAACACAUCCGCUUCCUGUAUGGCUCUUCUAAACAAAGGCUCCAACAUAAAACGCACCCUUACGAAAAAUAGAUCCAUAAAUCCGAAUUUCAUUUUCCAAUUUAAUGUAACCAGGUGAAAAAUGGGUACAUGUCAAAAAUGUAUUUUGUAAACCAUGUUUUGUUUUUAUUUCACCGACUGGUUGUAAUUCUUGUUUUUGUCAGCAUGUGGUGCUGUUGUUUACAGAGAGGUCUAAAAUUACCGGAAGUAGAAAAAACCUCUUGCGCAUGUACCGUGGCACUCUAACUAGAAAAACGGAAGAGAAGCACAUUUUGUGUGCCGAGACGUGGUGAAAAAAAAAGACUAUAUGGCCACCUAAGCAGAGAAUCCAAGUGUUCGCCUGUGUACCAGGACGUCUCAGAAGUCAUUGGAGUUCUCCCAGUUUGACCAGCAGACUGAAGGCCUGCCUGUGGCCAGUGUUCCCAGUAUAAUAAAUAAAUGUGUUUUAUUCUUUCACUUUUUGUGUAUUUUUAAAUAUGUCAAUCUGAAAUAUUACUGUAUUAAUGCAGCUUAUGUAAUGAAAUAAAAAUAAUUUACUCUGUUAGAAUUAUUUUCACUCUUUGCUGUCAAUUGCAGAGUUGACAUAUACUGUAAUAAUUUUUUUUUUCUUUCAGGAAAAAAGAGUAAGAAAAAUAUGUCGUUUAAUGUUUGACAAUGACUGAUUUAUCAAAGUCAUUGUCAGGUAACAAUGACUUUGAUAAAUUAAGUCAUUUUUCAAUAAUAUAUUAAAAAAUAAAUACAAGAAAAUACUUUUUUUUUCUUGUCUUGAAAUGUUAAAUGUACAUUAAAUUAUGGAAUCAUGUAUAUGUGUUCUUUAAUAAAACACUGUAAAAGUGUGUGUCUGUUCAUCAAUGUCAAUAUGAAAGCUAUCAGAAUAAUUUCUAUCA